rnacentral:rRNA from 1 species
UACAGAGGUGGCAAGCGUUGUUCGGAAUUACUGGGCGUAAGGGCGCGUAGGCGGCCCUCUAAGUCCCGUGUGAAAGCCCCCGGCUCAACCGGGGAACUGCACGGGAAACUGGAGGGCUUGAGUUCGGGAGAGGGAAGCGGAAUUCCGGGUGUAGCGGUGAAAUGCGUAGAUAUCCGGAGGAACACCGGUGGCGAAGGCGGCUUCCUGGACCGACACUGACGCUGAUGCGCGAAAGCUAGGGGAGCAAACGGG